UACUGUACACAAUACAGAAAUAUCAACAUCGAGUACAUCCAAAACUCAGGUCACUAUUAUUAAGUGAGCACACUUAACAGCCUUGAAAUUGAAAUCUGAUCUGCACAGGCACUAAGCAAAAACCCUUUUCAUCUAGCACCAGCACCAACUGUUAAAACUACAAACAUUAACUAGCUCAUCCAACUUUUAUUAGAGGAGCAAAACUGCAGCGUAA
rnacentral:misc_RNA from 1 species